GACGAACGCUGUCGGCGUGCUUAACACAUGCAAGUCGAACGACGAACCAGGAGCUUGCUUUUUGGGAAUAGUGGCGAACGGGUGAGUAACACGUGGGCAACCUGCCCCAGACACUGGGAUAACUCCGGGAAUCCGGAGGUACUACCGCCUACGACUACUUCGGGCAUCAGACGGUGGUGGACAGUCUGUCGGUCUGGGGUGGGUCCGGGGCGUAUGAGCUAGUAGGUGGGGCAAUGGCCUACCAAGGCGAAGCAGGGUAGCCGGCCUGGGAGGGCGACCGGCAACACGGGAACUGAGGGACGGUCCAGACGCCUACGGGAGGCAGCAGUGGGGAAUAUUGCGCAAUGGGCGAAAGCCGGACGCAGAGACGCCGCGUGAGGGACGACGGCCUGCGGGUUGUAAAACUCUUUCAGCAGGGACGAAGCGAUAGUGACUGUACCUGCAGAAGAAGCACCGGCUAACUACGUGCCAGCCGCCGCGGUAA
rnacentral:rRNA from 1 species